GCUCACUUCAGCAGUACAUACCAAAAUUGGAAUGAUUUAGAGAAGAUUAGCAUGGCCACCCUGUGCAAGAAUGACAUGCAAAUUCUUGAAGUGUUCCAUAUUUUA